GGAAGGAUCAUUAACACGUUUUCCAACGUUUUAUCAACAACUUCGUGAACUGUACCCCCUCACCUCUUCAACUUAAUAUGGUGGAAUAAACUCAGCCUUAUGCCUAUGUGGACAAACAAUCGGAGACAACGAGUAUCGUAACUGAGAAAGUAUUAUCCUUGGGGCAGCUGACACUGAAAGCCGUUGAGCUUUUAUUAAGUUGAUGUAGGCUUUUUUCGAUCCACACAUAUUAACCCCUUUAACCGUUCAGUCUCGGCUGACGUACUAUUUGACUAAUGCUUAUCAUGUUUGACUGAUCGUGAUUCAUUUCACUUUCGGACCUUACAUUGAUAUGAGUUAUGUAACUAAGCACAACUCUUAGCAACGGAUAUCUUGGUUCUCGCAACGAUGAAGAACGCAGCGAAAUGCGAUAUGUAAUGCGAAUUGCAGAAUUCAGUGAAUCAUCCAAUCUUUGAACGCAAAUGGCGCUCUCGGGAUAGCCCUGGGAGCACACCUCUCUGAGUAUCGCCUACACCUCAACUCAACCCUUGUUUGCAUUCAUGCAUGCAUGCGGUUGGAGAAUGAGAGUCUGAUAGUAUCUUGUAUACAAUCAGUCUCUUGAAAAGUAUGGAGUGAUCUCUUGCUACAUGUGCCCGGUUAGCUUCGGCUGACCUAGCCUCAUGUCUGCUACUACACCGGACUAAGCUUAGUCAAGUGACGUGGAUAAUGUAUGAGAGCCUUCGGGCACUCACUCACUAAACGUCUGCUUAGCUAAUGCUGUGUCUACCUAGUAGAUUCUGGAUAUGAGUGUGAAUGCUGUGUAAUAAUUGAUGACGUCAGAAUUGACUGUAAUGAUUAGUAUUCAUACUAGUUAUUACUCUCUGUUGAGAUCUCAGAUGAAGUGAGAAGACCCCCUGAAUUUAAGCAUAUUAAUAAGGGGAGGAAAAGAAACUAACAAGGAUUCCCUUAGUAACGGCUAGUGAAGCGGGAAGAGCUCAAGUUGAGAAUCGGGUAGCCAGGCGGCUUCCCCGAGUUGUAAGCUAGAGACGUGUGAUCAGCGUGUGGCGCAGGUUGGAGUCCUUUGGAACAAGGCAUCACAGAGGGUGAGAAUCCCGUCCUGGGCCUGUCCGCCGCCGCGUACGAUGCAUGUUCAAUGAGUCGAGUUGUUUGGGAUUGCAGCUCUAAGUAGGUGGUAAGUCUCAUCUAAAGCUAAAUAUAGGCGAGAGACCGAUAGCGAACAAGUACCGUGAGGGAAAGAUGAAAAGAACUUUGAAAAGAGAGUUAAACAGUACUUGAAAGUGCUAAGAGGGAAGCGCUGGAAGCCAGUGUGUGCUGUAACCAUCUUUUCCAGCUGACUGCGGAAGCAUGGUGGUCGAUGUGGGUAACCCAUCGGCUGCUAGACGACUGUAGCCAGCUGGCUCCUGUGGUUAUAGCGAGGUCAGAAUCCAUUCGAAUCUGGGGAGAAAGGGAGUAGGAAGGUAGGGUCUAGCAAUAGAUCUGUUAUAGCCUAUUCUCCAUACCUGGGCUUGGAUGGAGGCAACAUGAAAUAGAGCGCCACAAGGCGUGGCUGUGGGGUCCUGCUUGGCUGUCAGCGCUUGGAUAGCAAUGCUAUGCGGUGCUGGCUGUUGGGUACUGAUCUUACUGUCCGUCGGCUCUAUCGUGAUUCUGACGAAAUGGCUUCCAUCGACCCGUCUUGAAACACGGACCAAGGAGUCUAACAUCUAUGCGAGUAGUGGGGUGCAAAACCCGCAUGCGUAAUGAAAGUAAAGUUAGCUUCGGCUAAUGAGGUAGGAACCAGGCUUGAAAAGGUUUGGGGCACUAUCGACCGAUCCUCACUUGUGAAAGAUUUGAGUACGAGCAUAUCUGUUGGGACCCGAAAGAUGGUGAUCUAUGCCUGAACAGGGUGAAGCCAGGGGAAACUCUGGUGGAAGCUCGUAGCGAUACUGACGUGCAAAUCGUUCGUCUGAUUUGGGUAUAGGGGCGAAAGACUAAUCGAACCAUCUAGUAGCUGGUUCCCUC
rnacentral:misc_RNA from 1 species